rnacentral:lncRNA from 1 species
UGGUAUAAUGCCUAGUUACGAUGUUAGAUUUCCUGACCCCGAGGAUAGGAUUGUUCGAGCACGACGAUGGGAGUUUGUUAUUUUUAGGGAGACCCUUAAGGCUGGCUUUAGGUGGCCCCUUCACCCCUUCUUUAUUGCUCUAUUAGUCGAGCACUCCAUGUGCCCGGGGCAGUUAGUGCCCAACGCCUGGAGAAUGCUCGUUUAUUUUUUUUAUAGCAUGUAGAUACUUAGGUAUCGAGCCCAACAUUGGCCUCAGUAAAUUAGUGUUCGAGCUUAAGAAGCAUCCUCGAUACACUUGUUUUGGCUAUCUCUCGAUGAUUGGGGGUUUUAAAGUCCCGAGGAUGGCGAGCUCUUUGAAGGGGUGGAGGGAGGGGUGGUUUUAUGUU